UACGGGGGGAGCAAGCGUUGUUCGGAUUUACUGGGCGUAAAGGGCGCGUAGGCGGCCACCGCAAGUCAAUUGUGAAAUCUCCGGGCUUAACUCGGAAAGGUCAACUGAUACUGCGGGGCUAGAGUGCGGAAAGGGCAACUGGAAUUCUCGGUGUAGCGGUGAAAUGCGUAGAUAUCGAGAGGAACACCUGCGGCGAAGGCGGGUUGCUGGGCCGACACUGACGCUGAUGCGCGAAAGCCAGGGGAGCGAACGGG
rnacentral:rRNA from 1 species